UGCAAGUCGAACGAGUUCUCGUUGAUGAUCGGUGCUUGCACCGAGAUUCAACAUGGAACGAGUGGCGGACGGGUGAGUAACACGUGGGUAACCUGCCCUUAAGUGGGGGAUAACAUUUGGAAACAGAUGCUAAUACCGCAUAGAUCCAAGAACCGCAUGGUUCUUGGCUGAAAGAUGGCGUAAGCUAUCGCUUUUGGAUGGACCCGCGGCGUAUUAGCUAGUUGGUGAGGUAAUGGCUCACCAAGGCGAUGAUACGUAGCCGAACUGAGAGGUUGAUCGGCCACAUUGGGACUGAGACACGGCCCAAACUCCUACGGGAGGCAGCAGUAGGGAAUCUUCCACAAUGGACGCAAGUCUGAUGGAGCAACGCCGCGUGAGUGAAGAAGGCUUUCGGGUCGUAAAACUCUGUUGUUGGAGAAGAAUGGUCGGCAGAGUAACUGUUGUCGGCGUGACGGUAUCCAACCAGAAAGCCACGGCUAACUACGUGCCAGCAGCCGCGGUAAUACGUAGGUGGCAAGCGUUAUCCGGAUUUAUUGGGCGUAAAGCGAGCGCAGGCGGUUUUUUAAGUCUGAUGUGAAAGCCCUCGGCUUAACCGAGGAAGCGCAUCGGAAACUGGGAAACUUGAGUGCAGAAGAGGACAGUGGAACUCCAUGUGUAGCGGUGAAAUGCGUAGAUAUAUGGAAGAACACCAGUGGCGAAGGCGGCUGUCUGGUCUGUAACUGACGCUGAGGCUCGAAAGCAUGGGUAGCGAACAGGAUUAGAUACCCUGGUAGUCCAUGCCGUAAACGAUGAAUGCUAGGUGUUGGAGGGUUUCCGCUCUUCAGUGCCGCAGCUAACGCAUUAAGCAUUCCGCCUGGGGAGUACGACCGCAAGGUUGAAACUCAAAGGAAUUGACGGGGGCCCGCACAAGCGGUGGAGCAUGUGGUUUAAUUCGAAGCAACGCGAAGAACCUUACCAGGUCUUGACAUCUUUUGAUCACCUGAGAGAUCAGGUUUCCCCUUCGGGGGCAAAAUGACAGGUGGUGCAUGGUUGUCGUCAGCUCGUGUCGUGAGAUGUUGGGUUAAGUCCCGCAACGAGCGCAACCCUUAUGACUAGUUGCCAGCAUUUAGUUGGGCACUCUAGUAAGACUGCCGGUGACAAACCGGAGGAAGGUGGGGAUGACGUCAAAUCAUCAUGCCCCUUAUGACCUGGGCUACACACGUGCUACAAUGGAUGGUACAACGAGUUGCGAGACCGCGAGGUCAAGCUAAUCUCUUAAAGCCAUUCUCAGUUCGGACUGUAGGCUGCAACUCGCCUACACGAAGUCGGAAUCGCUAGUAAUCGCGGAUCAGCACGCCGCGGUGAAUACGUUCCCGGGCCUUGUACACACCGCCCGUCACACCAUGAGAGUUUGUAACACCCGAAGCCGGUGGCGUAACCCUUUUAGGGAGCGAGCCGUCUA
rnacentral:rRNA from 1 species